rnacentral:rRNA from 1 species
GAUGAACGCUGGCGGCGUGCCUAAUACAUGCAAGUCGAGCGAACAGACGAGGAGCUUGCUCCUCUGACGUUAGCGGCGGACGGGUGAGUAACACGUGGAUAACCUACCUAUAAGACUUGGAUAACGUCGGGAAACCGGAGCUAAUACCGGAUAAUAUAUUGAACCGCAUGGUUCAAUAGUGAAAUACGGUUUUUCGGUCACUUAUAGAGGGAUCCGCGCCGCAUUAGCUAGUUGGUAAGGUAACGGCUUACCAAGGCAACGAGGCGUAGCCGACCUGAGAGGGUGAUCGCCCACACUGGAACUGAGACACGGUCACGACUACUACGGGAGGCAGCAGUAGGGAAUCUUCCGCAAUGGGCGAAAGCAUGACGGAGCAACGCCGCGUGAGUGAUGAAGGUCUUCGGAUCGUAAAACUCUGUUAUUAGGGAAGAACAAAUGUGUAAGUAAAUAUGCACGUAUUGACGGUACCUAAUCAGAAAGCCACGGCUAACUACGUG